rnacentral:ncRNA from 2 species
UUCUUAUCAAGAGAGAGGGAGGGACUGGCCCUGUGAACUCUCAGCAACCUGACCGUAUGUCAAGGUGCUAAUUCCAGACAGGCUUGAUGCUUGGAAGAUAAGAA